rnacentral:rRNA from 1 species
GACGAACGCUGGCGGCGUGCUUAACACAUGCAAGUCGAACGGAAAGGCCCUGCUUCUGUGGGGUGCUCGAGUGGCGAACGGGUGAGUAACACGUGAGUAACCUGCCCUUGACUUUGGGAUAACUUCAGGAAACUGGGGCUAAUACCGGAUAGGAGCUCCUGCUGCAUGGUGGGGGUUGGAAAGUUUCGGCGGUUGGGGAUGGACUCGCGGCUUAUCAGCUUGUUGGUGGGGUAGUGGCUUACCAAGGCUUUGACGGGUAGCCGGCCUGAGAGGGGGACCGGCCACAUUGGGACUGAGAUACGGCCCAGACUCCUACGGGAGGCAGCAGUGGGGAAUAUUGCACAAUGGGCGGAAGCCUGAUGCAGCAACGCCGCGUGCGGGAUGACGGCCUUCGGGUUGUAAACCGCUUUCGCCUGUGACGAAGCGUGAGUGACGGUAAUGGGUAAAGAAGCACCGGCUAACUACGUG